rnacentral:rRNA from 1 species
AUUGAACGCUGGCGGCAUGCUUUACACAUGCAAGUCGAACGGUAACAGGUCUUCGGAUGCUGACGAGUGGCGAACGGGUGAGUAAUGUAUCGGAACGUGCCCAGUAGUGGGGGAUAACUACUCGAAAGAGUGGCUAAUACCGCAUGAGAACUGAGGUUGAAAGCGGGGGACCUUCGGGCCUCGCGCUACUGGAGCGGCCGAUAUCAGAUUAGGUAGUUGGUGGGGUAAAGGCCUACCAAGCCGACGAUCUGUAGCUGGUCUGAGAGGACGACCAGCCACACUGGGACUGAGACACGGCCCAGACUCCUACGGGAGGCAGCAGUGGGGAAUUUUGGACAAUGGACGCAAGUCUGAUCCAGCAAUGCCGCGUGCAGGACGAAGGCCUUCGGGUUGUAAACUGCUUUUGUACAGGACGAAAGGGCUCUGGUUAAUACCUGGGGCAGAUGACGGUACUGUAAGAAUAAGCACCGGCUAACUACGUGCCAGCAG